AAAAUGGCGCGUGCCCAAAAAAUGCAAGUCGAACGGGGUACCAGUACCUAGUCGGCGAACGGUCGCGUAACACGCGGGCAACCUGCCCCAGAGCGGGGGAUAACAACCCAAAAGGGUUGCUAAUACCGCAUGUGAACCGAGGGAGGCAUCUUCUUUUGUUCAAAGGAUUACCCGCAAGGGUAUUCACUCUGGGAUGGGCCCGCGGCCUAUCAGCUUGUUGGUGGGGUAACGGCCUACCAAGGCUUCGACGGGAAGCUGGUCUGAGAGGACGAUCAGCCGGAUUGGGACUGAAAUACGGCCCAGACUCCUACGGGGGGCAGCAAUUAGGAAUCUUGCACAAUGGGCGAAAGCCUGAUGCAGCGACGUCGCGUGGAGGAUGAAG
rnacentral:rRNA from 1 species